rnacentral:tRNA from 1 species
UAAAUUUAUAAUCUAAAGGACAUGUUUUUGUUAAACAGGCGAGUAAAAUUUUUGCCGAAUUC